CACACUGCUAUGACAAUCUACUGCUGGACACUGUGAUACUUCUGCCUCAUAGUUAUCGAGGUUCCUGAUCUGCGCCAGGAGAGUCCUAACGGACUUGUGAAUUAUCAUAUAUCUAUGGCUCCGACCCACUCACACACACACACAACACUACUGCUUCCACGCAUAUGCAGUUGGCCCGGGUCAAUCUGGUAUCAGAGCCAUUUUCAUAUC
rnacentral:lncRNA from 1 species